CUCCGUUUCUUCGUUUCUCGCUCGUUCUCGCGUGCAUGUCCUUCCUCGCUUCUAGUACCACUUCCGUAGGUGAUCACGGUUGCAUUUAGCAUAUGCAACAAGCCCUUUAAACCCCUAGAUAGCUCUAGUGGACGAGUGUGCUCUCGUGAGGGUUUGUAGAAGAUAUACCCACAAAAUCCCAAGUCGCGGUGAAUCCACAAUUCUCUAUUCUUGCAAAUAAUGCACCAAAACCAACCUAAAAUGAUAGAAAAUCACUUCAUCACCUCAACUCGUGACCUGCACAGAAAAACAAUAAAAACACAUCAAAAGACACUAAACACUUAAGUACAACCAACCAAUUUAAGUGGAAAUGAAGGCCUAUAAGUGUGUAUAAAUACCACUUAUCACACCCCCAAACUUAAACUGAUGCUUGUCCUCAAGCGUCAACGACACUAUACAAUAAUACAAUGCAAUGCAUGAAUGCAACUACGUGAUGAAUGAGUGAACUAUGAAGUAAUUGCCUUGCCAAUUAUAAU
rnacentral:lncRNA from 1 species